GAGCCGCUAAGGCGGUGAAGUGGUUGAUGCCCGGCUUCCAGGAAAAGCCUCUAAGCGUCAGGUCAUAUUGAAUCGUACCCGAAACCGACACAGGUGGUCAGGUAGAGAAUACUGAGGCGCUUGAGAGAACUCGGGUGAAGGAACUAGGCAAAAUGGUGCCGUAACUUCGGGAGAAGGCACGCUGGCGUUAGGUGAAGGAGUAGACCUCUGGAGCUGAAGCCAGUCGCAGAGACCAGCUGGCUGCAACUGUUUAUUAAAAACACAGCACUGUGCAAACACGCAAGUGGACGUAUACGGUGUGACGCCUGCCCGGUGCUGGAAGGUUAAUUGAUGGGGUUAGCAUGCGAGUGCGAAGCUCUUGAUCGAAGCCCCAGUAAACGGCGGCCGUAACUAUAACGGUCCUAAGGUAGCGAAAUUCCUUGUCGGGUAAGUUCCGACCUGCACGAAUGGCGUAAUGAUGGCCAGGCUGUCUCCACCCGAGACUCAGUGAAAUUGAACUCGCUGUGAAGAUGCAGUGUACCCGCGGCAAGACGGAAAGACCCCGUGAACCUUUACUAUAGCUUGACACUGAACAUGGAGCCUUGAUGUGUAGGAUAGGUGGGAGGCAGAGAAGUGUGGACGCCAGUCUGCAUGGAGCCGACCUUGAAAUACCACCCUUGAAUGUUCGAUGUUCUCACUCAGGCCCGUGACCCGGGCCGGGGACAGUGUCUGGUGGGUAGUUUGACUGGGGCGGUCUCCUCCUAAAGAGUAACGGAGGAGCACGAAGGUUGGCUAAUCACGGUCGGACAUCGUGAGGUUAGUGCAAAGGCAUAAGCUGGCUUGACUGCGAGAGUGACGGCUCGAGCAGGUACGAAAGUAGGUCUUAGUGAUCCGGUGGUUCUGAAUGGAAGGGCCAUCGCUCAACGGAUAAAAGGUACUCCGGGGAUAACAGGCUGAUACCGCCCAAGAGUUCAUAUCGACGGCGGUGUUUGGCACCUCGAUGUCGGCUCAUCACAUCCUGGGGCUGAAGUAGGUCCCAAGGGUAUGGCUGUUCGCCAUUUAAAGUGGUACGCGAGCUGGGUUUAGAACGUCGUGAGACAGUUCGGUCCCUAUCUGCCGUGGGCGUAGGAAGAUUGAAAGGGGCUGCUCCUAGUACGAGAGGACCGGAGUGGACGCACCGCUGGUGUACGGGUUGUCAUGCCAAUGGCAUAGCCUGGUAGCUAAGUGCGGGAGAGAUAACCGCUGAAAGCAUCUAAGCGGGAAACUUGCCUUGAGAUGAGUCUUCCCUUGACUAAGGGUCACGGAAGGAACGUUUAAGACGAAGACGUGGAUAGGCUGGGUGUGUAAGUGCAGUGAUGCAUUGAGCUGACCAGUACUAAUGAACCGAGAGGCUUAACCUU
rnacentral:rRNA from 1 species